AAAAUAAUCCUACCCUUUGUGAAUUUUGUUUGUUUGAAUAAUUUUUUUUUUUAAAAAAUUAUUGGAGUCUUUCCCUUUAGAGUUUGCUUUUGAGUUUGUAAAAGAGUUCGAAAACAUCUAAAGGGGAUGGUCAAUAAUUUUUUUUGAAAAAAGACAUUUUUUAAAAUUAAACUUUUUGUAUUCAUUUGUCUAAAAAUUAUUUUUAUAAUAUAAAAACAACUUUUGACAAUGGAUCUCUUGGUUCUCGCAACGAUGAAGAACGCAGCAAAAUGCGAUAAGUAGUGUGAAUUGCAGAAUACGUGAAUCAUCGAAUCUUUGAACGCAUAUUGCACUUUUUUAGUUUACUAAAAAAGUAUGUCUGUUUGAGUAUCAGUAAAAUAUUCUCAUAAAAAUCAUUGUAUUUUUAUGGUUAUGAGUGUUUUACAACGAUACAAGUUGUUUCACUUUAAAUUUUUUUUUAAUAUUGAAAUUUUUCUAAUUUUAAUAAUUAAAAUUGGAUAAAAUUUUCCCGUCAAAAGGAAUAACCUAAACAAUUUUAAACGAUUAAUUUUAGCAAAAUUUUCGUAAAAAGGAAAAUUUUUAUUAAAAUAACUUGAUCUCAAAUCAGAUAAGAGUACCCGCUGAACUUAAGCAUAUCAAUAAGCGGAGGAAAAGAAACUAACAAGGAUUCCCUUAGUAACGGCGAGUGAAGCGGGAAGAGCUCAAAUUUGAAAUCUUCAAGGUUUUACCUUGACGAAUUGUAGUUUAAAGAAGUGUUUUCUGCUGAAGUUUUGGUAAAAGUUCUUUGGAAUAGGACAUCAUAGAGGGUGAGAAUCCCGUAUUUGACCAUUAUUUUCAGCUUUGUGAUACACUUUCAAAGAGUCGGAUUGUUUGGGAAUGCAGUCCAAAAUGGGUGGUAAAUUUCAUCUAAAGCUAAAUAUUGGCGAGAGACCGAUAGCGAACAAGUACCGUGAGGGAAAGAUGAAAAGAACUUUGAAAAGAGAGUUAAACAGUACGUGAAAUUGUCAAAAGGGAAGCGUUUGACACCAGUGCUGUUUUCUCGAAAAUCAAUUAAAAAUGGCUCGAUUUUGUAUUGCUUGAGACCUUAAAAGCUCACUGUACAUUUUUCGUGUCUUUUUUAAUGCACUUUUCGUUUAACAAGUCAACAUCAGUUUCUUUUGUUGUAAAAGGGUCAUUGGAAGGUGGCUUUCUUUUCGGAGAAAGUGUUUAUAGCCUUUGGCCUCUGCAAUCGGA
rnacentral:misc_RNA from 1 species